UCAACGGCUUUUUUGGUGAUUCAUGAUAACUUUUCGAAUCGUAGGACCUUGUGUCGACGAUGGUUCAUUCAAAUUUCUGCCCUAUCAACUUUCGAUGGGAGGAUAGAGGCCUACCGUGGUUUUAACGGGCAACGGAAAAUUAGGGUUCUAUUCCGGAGAGGGAGCCUGAGAAACGGCUACCACAUCCAAGGAAGGCAGCAGGCGCGCAAAUUACCCAAUCCUGACACAGGGAGGUAGUGACAAUAAAUAACAAUACAGGGCUCUUAGAGUCUUGUAAUUGGAAUGACUACAAUUUAAAUCCCUUAACGAGGAACAAUUGGAGGGCAAGUCUGGUGCCAGCAGCCGCGGUAAUUCCAGCUCCAAUAGCGUAUAUUAAAGUUGUUGCAGUUAAAAAGCUCGUAGUUGAAUUUUGGGCCUGGCUGGGCGGUCUUUCCUCGAGGUGAGCACGGCUCUGGUCGGGUCUUUCCUUCUGGGGAACCAGCGUGCUCUUAAUUGAGUGCGUUGGGGAUCCAGGACUUUUACUUUGAAAAAAUUAGAGUGUUUAAAGCAGGCUUACGCUUGAAUACAUUAGCAUGGAAUAAUAGAAUAGGACUUUGGUUCUAUUUUGUUGGUUUCUAGGACCGAAGUAAUGAUUAAUAGGGAUAGUUGGGGGCAUUAGUAUUUAAUUGUCAGAGGUGAAAUUCUUGGAUUUAUGAAAGACUAACUUCUGCGAAAGCAUUUGCCAAGGAUGUUUUCAUUAAUCAAGAACGAAAGUUAGGGGAUCGAAGACGAUCAGAUACCGUCGUAGUCUUAACCAUAAACUAUGCCGACUAGGGAUCGGGCGAUGUUAUUUUUUUGACUCGUUCGGCACCUUAUGAGA
rnacentral:rRNA from 1 species